CCAGAGUGGACGAUGUUCCCUGGGGCAGGGCUAGUCAAAGUGUGGGCCACAGACUGGCUGCUUGAUACAGUCCAUGACAAGGAGGGCAGCUGUCCUAUUCACUGCUGUAUCCCUGCCACCUAGAGGAGUACCAGGACACAGUGAGCUCAAUUCUUUCCCAAACUCCUAAUUUAUCCCUCUUCCCCAAACCCUUUG